AUGAGGGCGUGUGGGGCUUAAUAUCCCCC
rnacentral:rRNA from 1 species